rnacentral:rRNA from 1 species
UGGGGAAUAUUGGGCAAUGGGGGAAACCCGUGACCCAGCAACGCCGCGUGAAGGAAGAAGGUCUUCGGAUCGUAAAGCUCUGUCCUUGGGGAAGAUAAUGACGGUACCCUUGGAGGAAGCCCCGGCUAACUACGUGCCAGCAGCCGCGGUAAUACGUAGGGGGCAAGCGUUAUCCGGAAUUAUUGGGCGUAAAGAGUGCGUAGGUGGUUACCUAAGCAGGGGGUGAAAGGCAUUGGCUUAACCAAUGUUAGCCCCCUGAACUGGGCUACUUGAGUGCAGGAGAGGAAAGCGGAAUUCCUAGUGUAGCGGUGAAAUGCGUAGAUAUUAGGAGGAACACCAGUGGCGAAGGCGGCUUUCUGGACUGUUACUGACACUGAGGCACGAAAGUGUGGGGAGCAAACAGGAUUAGAUACCCUGGUAGU